rnacentral:piRNA from 1 species
UAGCCUUAGUGGAUGACCAUGUUGUAGUGA